rnacentral:rRNA from 1 species
GUGCAUGUGGUGGAUGCCUUGGCGAUUACAGGCGAUGAAGGACGUUGUAGCCUGCGAAAAGCCGCGGGGAGCUGGCAAACAAGCUUUGAUCCGCGGAUGUCCGAAUGGGGAAACCCACCCGCAAGGGUAUCGCUGACUGAAUCCAUAGGUCAGCGAGGCGAACGUGGCGAACUGAAACAUCUAAGUAGCCACAGGAAAAGAAAUCAACCGAGAUUCCGAAAGUAGUGGCGAGCGAAAUCGGAGCAGCCUGUGCGUGAUAGUCGAUUGGCUAGUGGAACGGUAUGGAAAGGCCGGCCAUAGAGGGUGAUAGCCCCUUACACGAAAGCGAAUCGGUGGUACUGAGCGUACGACAAGUAGGGCGGGACACGUGUAAUCCUGUCUGAAGAUGGGGGGACCAUCCUCCAAGGCUAAAUACUCGUAAUCGACCGAUAGUGAACAAGUACUGUGAAGGAAAGGCGAAAAGAACCCCGGGAGGGGAGUGAAAUAGAUCCUGAAACCGCAUGCAUACAAACAGUCGGAGCCUCGCAAGGGGUGACGGCGUACCUUUUGUAUAAUGGGUCAGCGACUUACGUUCAGUGGCAAGCUUAACCAGAUAGGGGAGGCGCAGGGAAACCGAGUCCGAAUAGGGCGCCAUAGUCGCUGGGCGUAGACCCGAAACCAGGUGAUCUAUCCAUGGUCAGGAUGAAGGUUGGGUAACACCAGCUGGAGGUCCGAACCGACUAAUGUUGCAAAAUUAGCGGAUGAACUGUGGAUAGGGGUGAAAGGCUAAUCAAACCUGGAAAUAGCUGGUUCUCCCCGAAAACUAUUUAGGUAGUGCGUCAUGUAUUGCUCCAGGGGGUAGAGCACUGUAAUGGUUGUGGGGGCCAUCGCGGCUUACCACGCCAUAGCAAACUCCGAAUACCUGGAAGUAUGAGCAUGGCAGACAGUCGCCGGGUGCUAACGUCCGGCGGCAAGAGGGAAACAACCCAGACCUACAGCUAAGGUCCCAAAGUGUGGCUAAGUGGGAAACGAAGUGGGAAGGCUAAAACAGUCAGGAUGUUGGCUUAGAAGCAGCCAUCAUUUAAAGAAAGCGUAAUAGCUCACUGAUCGAGUCGUCCUGCGCGGAAGAUGUAACGGGGCUAAGCCAUGCACCGAAGCUUAGGCUGCACUCUCUGAGUGCGGGGUAGGGGAGCGUUCUGUAAGCCUGUGAAGGUGUCUCGUAAGGGAUGCUGGAGGUAUCAGAAGUGCGAAUGCUGACAUGAGUAGCGUUAAAGCGGGUGAAAAGCCCGCUCGCCGUAAGCGCAAGGUUUCCUACGCAACGUUCAUCGGCGUAGGGUGAGUCGGCCCC